rnacentral:rRNA from 1 species
GACAGAGGGUGCAAACGUUGCUCGGAUUUACUGGGCGUAAAGCGCGUGUAGGCGGGCGACUAAGUCGGAUGUGAAAUCCCUGGGCUCAACCUAGGAACUGCAUUCGAAACUGGUCACCUAGAGUGAUGGAGAGGAAAGCGGAAUUCCCGGUGUAGAGGUGAAAUUCGUAGAUAUCUGGAGGAACACCGGUGGCGAAGGCGGCAUCCUGGACCGGCAUUGACGCUGAGGCGCGAAAGCUAGGGGAGCAAACGGG